AGUGGAUUGAUGUAAAGGUUAACAUAUAUGGCUCAUGACCAUGAUAUUUAGGUUCAAAUCCUAAGUCCGCUA
rnacentral:tRNA from 1 species